UUGUGGGGAAAAACCAUAGGAUGAAUUAUCCAUGGUGCUUGAGGUUCUGGUUAGGUUUUUUACCAUUAUGKGUUUUUUUAUGAAGAUGUGCGGUUAAAUGCGGUGCUUUUUUAGAGUGUUGGAGUGAAAGUUGUCUUGCUUGAAUUUCCAUUAACCGUUCCCCCCUUGGAGUUUUUUUACUUUAAUUUAAUUCUUUCUGCUUUGAAUCGAAAGGUUCAAGGCAAAAAACAAACACAAACAAUUUUAUUUUAUUAUAAUUUUUUAAACUAAACCAAAAUUCCUAACGGAAAUUUUAAAAUAAUUUAAAACUUUCAACAACGGAUCUCUUGGUUCUCGCAUCGAUGAAGAACGUAGCGAAUUGCGAUAAGUAAUGUGAAUUGCAGAUACUCGUGAAUCAUUGAAUUUUUGAACGCACAUUGCGCCCUUGAGCAUUCUCAGGGGCAUGCCUGUUUGAGCGUCAUUUCCUUCUCAAAAGAUAAUUUAUUAUUUUUUGGUUGUGGGCGAUACUCAGGGUUAGCUUGAAAUUGGAGACUGUUUCAGUCUUUUUUAAUUCAACACUUAGCUUCUUUGGAGACGCUGUUCUCGCUGUGAUGUAUUUAUGGAUUUAUUCGUUUUACUUUACAAGGGAAAUGGUAACGUACCUUAGGCAAAGGGUUGCUUUGAAUAUUCAUCAAGGUGACCUCAAAUCAAGAAAUAACCCCAUGGC
rnacentral:rRNA from 1 species